AUUCCUAAUUGUUACAGGUAUAUGCAAAAGAUGUAUAGAAACACACUUUAAAAAAUCAGUAUGGAAGUAAAGCUGAAGGAAGAGCUUAAAGCAGAAAUGUGUUCCUAUUGACAAGGCAACAAUUGAAUCAAACCAAACAGAGCAAAGAGUGGAGGAAAAUGGAAGAAGUCAUGGACUUAACAGAAAACAUAUGACCUAAUACCUGCAGAUUUUGAAUUCAUAUCAUCAGUGCAUAUAAAUUGGUCAAAAGAUGAAAGAUCUCAG